AUUACGUUAAUGACAAAUUGAAUUAAGAGGAAGAGGGUUAGGUUUACAUGACUUGUGACAAUUGGAUGUAGGAAAACUCCCAGACUCCUCCCUUCUUCAACGUGAACGGCGGCGGGCAAACGGUGGCCGGAGUGCCUUUCGAUUCCGGCGAAGUCCUCUUCUCCUCUCAUCUCUCUAUGUUCGGCUUCAACUUUCUCCGAUCGGAACAUUCUAAUCGCCGCCGCGUUUCACUCUUUCCGUUCACAAUCUCUUCCCAAACAUCCCCUCCGAUUUCGUCUCUCUUCUUCUUCGAUGACCUCAUGAGCUCAAACGCAACGGCACCGUUCUCUUAUGCUCACUCUCUUCUCCGAUUAACAUCAUCUUCUGCUUCUGCUUAUGAUUCGAAGAUUAAAGAUGCGUAAAGCAGUGGAUUGAGUAUUGUUUCAGUAAUUGUUGAAUCUCGUUGCUGAUUGAAGGAUGAAGAUGCGUGGAGAUGAUGACACGAAGCUUUGACGAUGAUGAUUGUUGCGUGGAUUCGUUGUGCGAUGAUGAUAUCGUUGCUAUGCCUCCGAACUCGACGACGAAGAACAAUCGAAGAAUUGCUUCAAGAACUCAGGUUGUUGUUCACGGAAUAGGAUCUAGCAAGCAAAAGCGAUUGUGCAGGUUCCGUGAAGGAUCAAUAUUCGUUUUCUUUUUGUAAUCGUUGACGAAUCGUGAAGGUGAUUGUGGUUGAUGAUUCGUUGAAGAACUGCUACGAGGAUGAUGAAGAGUUGAUUCGAAGGUGAUUGAAGAUUCCCUAUGGAGAUUGUUGAUUGAAGAUUAUGGAGAAUGAUGCUUCAAUCGUGAUUGUUGUGUUGCAGGUGAAGAAACGGCAAGCUUGUUGAAGGUGAUGGUGAUUGAAUGUUAUCGUUGCAAGAUGAUUGGAGAAGGUUCAAUUUGCGAUGAAGAUUUCUGAGAUUGAAAGGUUAUUGUGGAUUCGAGAUUUUCCGAUAAUUUCAGUGUGAUGAGGAAGAUGAAGAAGGUCGAAGGUUAGAGGAUGCAGGUUGUGGCUCUGAGAUGUGAAGGUGGUGAAUUCUUGGUGGUGAGUGAAGUUCGGUUGAAGGUUUGCUAUGAUGAAUCGUGUUGUGUAGAUUUUUCUCUGUUAUUUUCUGGAGUGAGGUUGUUACGAUGGAAAACCAAGAGAGAUUGAAGAGGUUCUCUCAUGAAGGUUCAAUCGAGAGAGAAGAGUCGGCGAGAGUUUGUUACACCCUUCGUUCAUUUUGUUUCUGGAUUUUUUAUUUAUUAUGGAUUGAUGAAUUUUCCGGAUCUUGUAAUGGAUAUGUAAAUAUUUUGACAUUGAAUGGACAUUUGAACUUUGAUAUGAAUGAACUCUUUUUUUUUUA